rnacentral:rRNA from 1 species
AUACGGAGGAUGCGAGCGUUAUCCGGAUUCAUUGGGUUUAAAGGGUGCGCAGGCGGACGGUUAAGUCAGCGGUGAAAAGUAUGCGCUCAACGCAUAUCGUGCCGUUGAAACUGGCCGACUAGGAUGCGGAUGCUGUGGGAGGAAUGUGUAGUGUAGCGGUGAAAUGCAUAGAUAUUACACAGAACACCGAUUGCGAAGGCAUCUCACAAAACCGCGAUUGACGCUGAGGCACGAAAGUUCGGGGAUCAAACAGGAUUAGAUACCCUGGUAGUCCGCACAGUAAACGAUGAUAACUCGCUGUUAGCUCGCAAGGAGUCAGUGGCCAAGCGAAAGCGAUAAGUUAUCCACCUGGGGAGUACGACCGCAAGGUUGAAACUCAAAUGAAUUGGCGGGG